rnacentral:rRNA from 1 species
UACGUAGGGGGCAAGCGUUGUCCGGAUUUAUUGGGCGUAAAGCGCUCGCAGGCGGUUCGUUGAGUCGGGCGUGAAAGACCCCGGCUCAACUGGGGGAUGUCGUGCGAUACGGGCGGACUGGAGGCCAGUAGGGGGAUGCGGAAUUCCGGGUGUAGUGGUGGAAUGCGUAGAGAUCCGGAGGAACACCAGCGGCGAAGGCGGCAUCCUGGACUGGUCCUGACACUCAGGAGCGAAAGCGUGGGGAGCGAUCCGG